UACGUAGGGUGCGAGCGUUGUCCGGAAUUAUUGGGCGUAAAGGGCUCGUAGGCGGUCUGUUGCGUCAGGAGUGAAAACUCGGGGCUUAACCCCGAGCCUGCUUCUGAUACGGGCAGACUAGAGGUAUGCAGGGGAGAACGGAAUUCCUGGUGUAGCGGUGAAAUGCGCAGAUAUCGGAAGGAACACCAGUGGCGAAAGCGGCUUCCUGGUCCAGCACCGACGUCAGGCACGAAAGCGUGGGGAGCAAACAGG
rnacentral:rRNA from 1 species